rnacentral:rRNA from 1 species
CGGAGGGUGCAAGCGUUAUCCGGAUUUACUGGGUUUAAAGGGUGCGUAGGUGGGUCUGUAAGUCAGUGGUGAAAUCUCCGGGCUUAACCCGGAAACUGCCAUUGAUACUAUAGGUCUUGAAUACUCUGGAGGUAAGCGGAAUAUGUCAUGUAGCGGUGAAAUGCUUAGAUAUGACAUAGAACACCAAUUGCGAAGGCAGCUUACUACGGGGUCAUUGACACUGAGGCACGAAAGCGUGGGGAUCAAACAGGAUUAGAUACCCUGGUAGUCCACGCCCUAAACGAUGGAUACUCGACAUCAGCGAUACACUGUUGGUGUCUGAGCGAAAGCAUUAAGUAUCCCACCUGGGAAGUACGAUCGCAAGAUUG